UACCAGCACCCCGAGUUGUCGGGACUAUUAUUGGGCCUAAAGCAUCCGUAGCCUGUUCUGCAAGUCCUCCGUUAAAUCCACCCGCUUAACGGAUGGGCUGCGGGGGAUACUGCAGAGCUAGGAGGCGGGAGAGGCAAACGGUACUCAGUGGGUAGGGGUAAAAUCCAUUGAUCUACUGAAGAACACCAAUGGCGAAGGCAGCUCUCUGGGACGGUACUGACGCUGAGACGCGAAAGCGUGGGGAGCGAACAGG
rnacentral:rRNA from 1 species